UAUGCACUCUACUGUAAGUCGCUCUGGAUAAGAGCGUCUGCUAAAUGACCAAAU
rfam:Salmo salar isolate Sally breed double haploid chromosome ssa27, whole genome shotgun sequence.